rnacentral:lncRNA from 13 species
ACAUCAUUUCAUGUUAAUUACCUCAUAAAGAACUUAUCUCCAAACAUAGAUGUAUUAGAGGUUAGGUCUGGAACAUAUGGAUUUGAGGGGGCACUAUUCAGUUCAUAGCAGGGUACAAGUGGCAUUUAAACCUAUAAGACUGGAUGAGAUGACCAAGGGAGGAUGUGAGAGCCUAUGAGAAGGGAAAAGGAGCUGCAAAAGCACCAUAGAAAGCUAAUUGAUUACAAAGCAAAUGACAUUUGGGAAAUAUUUGCCACAUGGAAGGAACAAAGGAUUAAUAUGCUUGUGGCACACAGGACACUUUGAAAUGAAUGACAAUCCCAAGGAAAACUGGACAAAGGACAUGAGCAGUGUGGCACCUCCUCCGCCCUUCCACCUGCUCCGGUCAUAUAAGGUGUGCCUGCUUCCCCUUCACCUUCUACCAUGACUGUAAGUUUCCUGAGGCCUCCCCAGAGGCAGAAGCCACUAUGCUUCCUGUAUAGCCUGCAGAAACAUGAGCCAAGUAAACUUCUUUUCUUAUAAAUUACCCAAUCUCAGGUAUUUCUUUACAGCAGUGUGGACUAAUACAGCUGCCCACUGGAAUCACCCAGAAGCUUAUAAAUCACAGAUACCGAUGGAAUCACACUGGAUGUGUGUACGACAUUUUGUGUAUCCAUUCAUCUGAUCAAGGACUUUUGGCUAUUGUGAAUAUUGCUGCUGUGAACACGGAUGUACAAAUAUCUGUUUGAGAUUCUACUUUCAGCCCUUUGGGUAUAUACCCAGGAGGAGAAUUUCCAGAGAGGAGUUUUCAAACUUCCCAUGUGAUUGCAAUGAGCAGCCAAGCAUGAACUCCAUUCCAAUGCAAGCAAUUCCAAUUCCCUGCUCUCCUCAACCGUGCUACUCUCUCUCUCUUUCUACUGUAGUGACACAAACAUAACACAGACGUAACACAGAACUUACCAUCUUAAUAUUUGUCGGCUUUCAGUUUGGUGUGAAGUAUUUUCACGUUGUUCCGCAGCCAUCACCACCAUCCAGCUCCAGAAUUUUUUCAUCUUCCCCAACUGACACUCUGUACUCAUUGAACACUAACUCCCCUUUUUCUCCUCUCCACAGCCCCUGGCAACCACCAUUCUGCUUUCUGUCUACAUGAAUUUGCCUACACUAGUACCUCGUAUAAGAAGAAUUAUACAAUACGUGUGGUUUUGUGUCUGACUUAUUUCACUAAGCAUAUGUCCUUGACGUUCAUUCAUGUUGUAGCAUGGAUCAGGAUUUUCUUCUGUUUUAAUGCUGAAGAAUAUUCCACUGGAUGUGUGUACGACAUUUUGUGUGAAAGUCAUCUGAUCAAGGACAUUUGGUUGUUUCCACCUAUGAACACAGGUGUGCAAAUAUCUCUUUGAGAGUCUACUUUCAUCCUUUGGGUAUAUACCCAGGAGGAGAAUUUCCAGCUCAUCACCCUUCUCUUUUUAAUCACCAUCUUCGCCACCACCCAUCAUAUUUUUGUUUAAUACAAGCCAUUUACUCUAAAUGAAAUGAUCCUGAAUCCAUAUGAAGGCUGGGCUGAAGAGAACUUGCACAAAAGAAAGGAAUAAUAUGUAAGUUAGUGGUAUCUCAGCAGAACAAAAAUCAGUCACAGAUUUGCAAAGUCCCUGAACCUGGUGUGUUCUGUGCCUGUAUUGAAAGCUUUUGCUGACAAAGCACAGGUGUGUCAAUGCCAAACAGCCCAGGCUCAUUUUAGAUGGAUUCUGACAUAAGAUGAUGGCUUCCUGUCUGAGCUCAUGGCUUGGAUGUCUACAAAUCAUUGCUCCCCCUGGAGCCCAGCCCUCUUGAUGCUUGGGGGUUGUGACAGAUCAGGGAGAAAGUGAUUUUGACUUUGUUUUCUUCAUGACAUAAACAAUAAACUGUGGAUUUUGCAGGAAGCCUCCUGGGAC